GAUAAACGCUGGCGGCGUGCCUAACACAUGCAAGUCUAACGGCCUUCGGGCAGUGGCAAACGGGUGAGUAACGCGUUGGAAUCUACCUUUAUCUCAGGUAUAACAUCUUGAAAGAGGUGCUAAUCCCUGAUAGUCUCUUCGGAGUAAAGCUUUUGCGGAUAAAGAGGAUCCUGCGUCCUAUCAGCUUGUUGGUAAGGUAAUGGCUUACCAAGGCAAUGACGGGUAGCUGGUCUGAGAGGAUGAUCAGCCACAGUGGAACUGAGACACGGUCCACACUCCUACGGGAGGCAGCAGUGAGGAAUUUUGCACAAUGGACGAAAGUCUGAUGCAGCAACGCCGCGUGAAGGAUGAAGAUCUUAGGAUUGUAAACUUCUUUUAUAAGGGAUGAAGUAUGACAGUACCUUAUGAAUAAGCUCCGGCUAAAUACGUGCCAGCAGCCGCGGUAAUACGUAUGGAGCAAGCGUUAUCCGGAUUUAUUGGGCGUAAAGAGUUCGUAGGUGGUAUGUUAAGUUGGAGAUGAAAUAUCUGGGCUCAACCCAGGGAACGUUUCCAAAACUAACAAGCUAGAGGAAGGGAGAGGCAAGCGGAACUUGUGGUGUAGGGGUAAAAUCCGUAGAUAUCACAGGGAACGCCAAAUGCGAAGGCAGCUUGCUGGUUCUCUCCUGACACUGAGGAACGAAAGCGUGGGUAGCGAACGGGAUUAGAUACCCCGGUAGUCCACGCCGUAAACGAUGGGUACUAGAUAUUAGUUGUAUCGACCCAACUAGUGUCGUAGCUAACGCGUUAAGUACCCCGCCUGGGGAGUACGGUCGCAAGACUAAAACUCAAAGGAAUUGACGGGGGAUCGCACAAGCGGUGGAGCAUGUGGUUUAAUUCGACGAUACGCGAGGAACCUUACCAAGGCUUGACAUCCUCGGAAUCUGUGGGAAACCAUGGAGUGCCUUCGGGAAUCGAGAGACAGGUGCUGCAUGGCUGUCGUCAGCUCGUGCUGUGAAGUGUCGGGUUAAGUCCCUUAACGAGCGCAACCCCUAUUGUAUGUUGUAUUUUCGUACAAGACUGCCCUGUGAUAGGGAGGAAGGUGGGGAUGACGUCUAGUCAGCAUGGCCCUUAUGCCUUGGGCUACACACAUGCUACAAUGGUCAGUACAACAGGUAGCCAAGCAGCAAUGCGGAGCUAAUCCUCUAAACUGGCCUCAGUU
rnacentral:rRNA from 1 species